rnacentral:rRNA from 1 species
UACGGGGGGGGCAAGCGUUGUUCGGAAUUACUGGGCGUAAAGGGCGCGUAGGCGGCACGGCAAGUCAGGAGUGAAAGCCCUGGGCUCAACCCGGGAACUGCUUUUGAAACUGCCGAGCUAGAGUGCGGAAGGGGCAACUGGAAUUCCCAGUGUAGCGGUGAAAUGCGUAGAUAUUGGGAAGAACACCUGAGGCGAAGGCGGGUUGCUGGGCCGACACUGACGCUGAUGCGCGAAAGCCAGGGGAGCGAACGGG